rnacentral:rRNA from 1 species
CUCUAAACAAUGGAUGUCUUGGCUCCUCACACGAUGAAGAACGUUGCAUAAUGUGAUAAGUAACUGGAGUUGCGAACAUUGUGACAAGUUAAUCUUUGAAUGCAAAUUGCGCAUACCUGAAUUUAUUCAGAUGCAUAUAUAUUCUAGUACUACAU